rnacentral:rRNA from 1 species
AUUGAACGCUGGCGGCGUGCUUAACACAUGCAAGUCGAGCGGCAGCGCGGGGGCAACCCUGGCGGCGAGCGGCGAACGGGUGCGUAAUGCAUGGGACUCUGCCCAAUAGUGGGGAAUAACCCGGCGAAAGCCGGGCUAAUGCCGCAUACGACCUACGGGUGAAAGCGGGGGACCUUCGGGCCUCGCGCUCUUGGAUGAGCCCAUGUCGGAUUAGCUAGUUGGUAGGGUAACGGCCUACCAAGGCGACGCUCCGUAGCUGGUCUGAGAGGACGGCCAGCCACACUGGGACUGAGACACGGCCCAGACUCCUACGGGAGGCAGCAGUGGGGAAUUUUGGACAAUGGGGGAAACCCUGAUCCAGCGACGCCGCGUGUGUGAAGAAGGCCUGCGGGUUGUAAAGCACUUUCGUUGGGAACGAAAUGUGCCGGUCUAAUACACCGGCAAGCUGACGUUACCCAAAUAAGAAGCACCGGCUAACUCUGUGCCAGCAGCCGCCGCCGUAA